rnacentral:tRNA from 1 species
GCCUCCGUGGUGCAAUCGGCUAGCGCGUUCGGCUGUUAACCGAAAGGUUGUUGGUUCGAGCGCACCCGGGGGCG